UAUAUAUAUAUAUAUAUAUAUAUAUAUAUAGAAUUGAGCUCCUAUGUUUUUUAAAAUACCAAGUUAUUGGUGCUUGUAGAUUUUUAGCCAUUGAAUUAAAAGAUAUACGGUUAAGAUGAUGUGGGCUCCCUAAGGUUGAGUGGAUGGUUGGUUGAAUAGUAUAAUCUAAUGGUUGAAAAUGAUCCGAAGAAUAGAUCUAAGGAUAAAAAAUUUACAAGCACCAAGUACUUGGUACUUUUACAAGCACCAUAGCUGGACUCUAUAUAUAUAUAUAUUGAGCAAUAUUACUGGCUAGAGAGAGGAAAAG
rnacentral:lncRNA from 1 species